CCCUUAGAUGUUCUGGGCCGCACGCGCGCUACACUGAUGAAUUCAACGAGCACUAACCUGUGCCGAAAGGUUCGGGUAAUCUUGUGAAAUUUCAUCGUGAUGGGGAUUGAUUAUUGCAAUUUUUAAUCAUAAACGAGGAAUGCCUAGUAAGCGUGAGUCAUCAGCUCACGUUGAUUACGUCCCUGCCCUUUGUACACACCGCCCGUCGCUCCUACCGAUGAGUCGUCCGGUGAAGUUCGUAGACCUCGUGAUCGCGGAUCACUGGGGGAAGCAAAAUGAACCUCGCGGUUUAGAGGAAGGAGAAGUCGUAACA
rnacentral:rRNA from 1 species